GAAACAAAAACUAUUUUUGUCCUGUUCGCACCAAACAUGAAAUAUCAAUAACCAUGAAGGUCCUGUACAAUCCAAUCAUGUUCCAUGUACCAAAAGCUACUGAUUUUUGUAAGAGAUAGUAGAGCAUCUAUGAAUAUAGUUCGAUCCCUACUUUGGCUUUGGCCAAAUUCAGCGGCUCCUCGCUAGACAACAUGUGUUCGAUGUCGACAGACCAGAAAGAGGUAGUGAACACUUUACCAUCAUAUAGUUCAUCAACCUACUGAGGGGACACCAACAACUCAAAUAUCCAAUCCCAUUGGAAGCCCUGCUUCGAUCCAAUCUGGUAUUUUUUGCAUCGGUAUUGCAGUUUGUUUUGUUGGGGAAUGUCUCUGUAAAGUAAAGAAAAGGAUAAGGAAGAAGUCGAGAAAUAUUAAAGAAGAUGAGAGACAAAUCAGCUGAGGGAGACACCAGUGGAUGAGCACUCAAUGGCCCUUUCUUAUAUUCUACCAAUAUGAGAGAGACACCAAAGUGAAAGCAGGAACUUUACUUGUUGGAGACAUUCACUUCGGCUUGAUGCUUCUUUUACCACUUACUUUAAUCCACGCCUGCCUAAAUAUUCAACACAAAAACAAGAAAAGUUUAUCCUCUUAUUCUCAAAAAGAAAUCCAAUUCACCAUCAACUUUUACACCCAAAGACACAUUCACAUGUUCAAUGUCAUCAGCCGGCUGUCUACUCAAAGCAGGAUAAACAUGUUGCCGACCAAGUCAAAAUUGGCUAACAAAGAAGGUUCCUUGGUUUCAUAAAUAUAAUAAUUUAAGAUGCUCCAUUGCUACUACCUGUGACUUGAACAGGAUCUAAACCACUAUCAACCUGCUAUUACCAACUUCACCAGAAAUUUUCAUGUGAGAAUGAUAAACAAAACCAAGACUUACCAACCAAUGCGGCAACAGCAACUUAACAGUAGAUUUAAGCUUUAUGUGUUGCAUAUAUGUAGAGAGCAUGCAGUUAUCCUUGAGUUUAUAUGCAUUUGAGCCAAAUAGAACAUACACAAUAAUAUUCUGACUACUGACCUGAGAAAGAAUAGAUCCUGGAAUCAACAGAGACGAUCCAGCCAAACCUUUAACUGGUCAAGAUAAUUGUAAAUGCACGAGUAUGUGUAUACAUGCCUUUAACUGGUCAAGAUAAUGGGCACACACUUCACACAAGCUAAGGAUAUUAAAGCAUGCUACUCAUUGAAAAGUGAAAACAAGCUCUAUGAAACUAAACCAGUCAAGGAAAGUUGCUAAACAAUACUAGAAGGAAAAGGGGGGGAAACAUUGCGACUUCCCGAAGCAAAAGCAAUUCUGGAUUGAAUUGCUUGAGCAACUAACUUUAGAACACAACAUGGCAGUGAUCAAUGAACAAAGGAGCAAUUGAUAAUCACAUUUCAGCAAAAUCAUUUGGACUAUGAGAAAACCAAGUUGCAACAACCAGAAACCCUUGAGGGACAAGAAGGAAAUCUCUGCAAAUAUUAACAUCCACAUGCCUGGCUAUCAGACAACUAUUGCUAAUCAAGACAUUAAAUCUUUCCAUAGAUUCAUAUCUACACAAGACAUUAAACAACGUAACAUAAGACCUAUAAUAUUGAGCAGACUCUUGUGAUACCAAAGCAUGCCAGUAUGUCAAUGCACAAUUAUAUAGAUAACAGAUGCGAGAGUUCAUCCCAAUCCCAUAACCUACCUUGCAGUCUCAACAUAACAAACAAUAGCAAUCCAAGCAAGGUCGAAAAAGAGAAAAUAAAUCAAUGGAUGCAUUCAAGAAAAUAGAGAAAGCACCAAGACCAUCGGUGGGAAGGAAUGACAGCAAUGAUGAAGCAAAUUUGUUGAACAAUGCCGAUGAGUUGAAGUUCUAAACUCCAGAAAAUGCCAUCCAAAUCACUGGCUUGAGCUUAAAAGGAUCCGAUUUAACAUAUUAUAACGUAAAAACAGCAUAGCUACCAUAUCUUAUUGUUUCCUUUUGCAUUCAAACUACCUUCAAUCGCAGUAC
rnacentral:lncRNA from 1 species